UCCCCGGUAGCUCAACCGGCAGAGCGGGUGGCUGUUAACCACUAGGUUGGCGGUUCGAGUCCGUCCCGGGGAGCCA
rnacentral:tRNA from 1 species